UCAAUCAUUCAUACACAAAACGCUUAGAGAGGUAAGAAAAAUAAAAGAAAUAAAAAGGAGAGAUAGUUAUUGAAUACAAGCAAUUUAUUUUAGAAGUCGAUUAAUUAUCAAGAAUGGGUUACUGCGAUGGUAAGUGGACGCCGGUAAUUAUUAUGAUUACGAUUAAUUCAGCGCUAGGUUUAGGUAACGCUCUGGUCAAAAAGGUACUCGAUGGUGGUGUUAAUCAUAUGGUUAUAGCAACAUACCGGCUCGCUAUUUCCACCUUGUUUUUGGCACCAAUAGCAUUUUUUUGGGAACGGACAACAAGACCGAAACUUACGCUCAACAUCUUGGUUCAGCUUUUCUUCAGUGCUCUUGUUGGGGCAAGUUUGACUCAGUAUUUCUUCCUACUGGGACUAUCGUACACAUCUGCUACGUUAGCAUGUGCUUUUAUUAGCAUGACACCUGCGGUUACGUUCGUUUUAUCUUUAGUAUUCAGGGUAGAGAAACUAAACAUGAAAAGCAAAGCAGGUAUAGGGAUGGUGAUGGGCACUUUGAUAUGCAUUGGAGGAGCUUUAUUACUAACAAUGUACAAAGGUGUUCCCUUGACAAAAUUUCACAAACUAGAAACCCAUCCAUCGACCGACAAUAAACCCGCAUUGAAACCUGAGAAUUGGAUCAUUGGAUGCGUGCUUCUCUUUGCGGGUAGUAGCUGUUUCGGGUCGUGGAUGCUAAUACAAUCCAAAGUAAACGACAAAUACCCUUGUCAAUACUCAAGCACCGUCAUACUAUCUUUUUUCGGAACCAUCCAAUGCGCACUACUAAGCCUCAUCAAAUCAAGAGAUAUCACGACUUGGAUCCUCACAGAUAAACUCGAUAUCAUGACCGUUGUUUAUGCAGGAGCGGUAGCACAAGGAAUAUGUACAGUGGGAACAUCUUGGUGCAUCAGAAAGAGAGGACCGAUCUUUACUUCAAUAUUUACUCCGGUGGGGCUUGUCUUUGCAACCCUAUUUGAUUUCUCGAUCCUUCAUCGUCAAAUUUGUAUUGGAAGUGUUAUCGGAUCUGGGAUUGUUAUCUUCGGACUAUACAUAUUCUUGUUGGGAAAGGUAAGGCAAAUGAAAGAAGAGUGUGCAAAGAAGUUGCCUUCUCAUUUUGGUGAAGAAGAAACCAAAGACGAUGAACAAUACAAAAAGGGUCAUCUUAUGGUUGUUCCAAUGACUCCUUGAUAUGCUCAGACUUCUCCUUUUCUUCUUCGCUUUGUACAUUAUCUUGGAAGUAAUAAUUUCAAACAUAAAAGCCAACCAAGGCUUUUAUCAAUUUGUUCUAGAUCCACUCCUGAGCUACAUGGACGGAUCCAACGGGUCAACAGGCUAUUCAACAAGCUACCCUUCUUUAUUGCUUGUGUAUCUAUCUUUUUUGUAUCCACUAUAAGUUCGUUUUAAAAUAUUUAUACAUUUUAUGUAAUAUGCUUUGGUUUAAAUUGUUUGCAUUCCC